GACGAACGCUGGCGGCGUGCUUAACACAUGCAAGUCGAACGGAAAGACCCUGCUUUUGUGGGGUGCUCGAGUGGCGAACGGGUGAGUAACACGUGAGUAACCUGCCCUUGACUUUGGGAUAACUUCAGGAAGCUGGGGCUAAUACCGGAUAGGAGCUCCUGCUGCAUGGUGGGGGUUGGAAAGUUUCGGCGGUUGGGGAUGGACUCGCGGCUUAUCAGCUUGUUGGUGGGGUAGUGGCUUACCAAGGCUUUGACGGGUAGCCGGCCUGAGAGGGUGACCGGCCACAUUGGGACUGAGAUACGGCCCAGACUCCUACGGGAGGCAGCAGUGGGGAAUAUUGCACAAUGGGCGGAAGCCUGAUGCAGCAACGCCGCGUGCGGGAUGACGGCCUUCGGGUUGUAAACCGCUUUCGCCUGUGACGAAGCGUGAGUGACGGUAAUGGGUAAAGAAGCACCGGCUAACUACGUG
rnacentral:rRNA from 1 species